rnacentral:lncRNA from 1 species
GUGAAUCAGAAUACAAACAAAUUGAGAAAAAUGGUAAAAUAAUUGAAGUUUGAUUAAAUGUGAACGGGAGGUUGAGGUAUCAUUGUUGUGAGACUCAAAGAGAAUUAAACAUAAUUUCUGAUGGUUCCAUGCAUUCUUAUGGUCUUCCACGAGUUCAGCAGAAGUCCAAGAAAAUAAACCAGGCUGUAGUGCUGAAAUUUAAGGUAAAAAAUUAACUUUUCACUUAACAUUCCGAUGCACAAGAAGAUAAACCGAAUGUUACCUGAAUGACAAAUCACGAGAACAUUUGCUCCACCCUUUGUACUCAACAAUCCUUCAAUUUCAAUUGCAUGCUCCAGGCAGAACAUUCGAGGUUUUUCAAAUCCACCAGAAAUGUUCCAUCCUGUCGCAGUCUUAACUUUUGAAGAAGCAGCAUCAUACUUGGAAGACGAUGUAUGGUCAGAGAUAGGAGAUUGCUCAACCGGCGAAUGUAUACAUUGGCUUGACUCAACCACUGAAGAUGAUCCAUUUGGAUAGGUUAGAUCACUCAGAUUUGAUCUCGAGUACUCAACACGUUAUAAAUUUUCGAUAAUGGUUGAUAAUCUAGAUACUUAUAAGAGAAUUUACACAGAACCUUUUGCACACAGUAAAAAGAGAAUUAGAGAGAGAGCCAUAGAUGAGUUAUCAAAGAUAAAGCAUGAAUUUACAGAUAAUUCACGUGGUUUGAUGAUGAAAAACACCACCACAAGCAGGCCUCUUUCUAUUGGCAGUUGAUACACGGAAAAAAAAAAAAAAAAAAAAAACCACAUGAAGUAUAUAAUUUCAAUCAGAAAUAAAAACAUAUAGCAGUGGACAACAAGUUCUAUCUAGCAGCAGCCAUGUAUCAAAACAUCAUUUUCCUGAAACUUAUUUUGAUCCUGGAAAAUUUAUGAUACAUUUGUACAAACCAAUAGUCUGGUUAAUUAAAAUCAGACACUUGGAUGUUUUAAUGCUCUGUUGUCGUAGAAGCACGUGAAAAAUAUUUAGCCCCCGUUUGGCCCCCAUUAUCCUUCUCAUUCUUUUUCUUUCUUUUAUUUUCAACUACACAAUCUUCCAUAAAAUAAUAUUACACACAAAUCAAAAAAAUUUCAUUCUUUUUCAACCACACAUUUUUCAAAGAAACACUAUUCCAACCAUUAAAAUUUGGAAAGAAUGGAGGCCAAAUGGGGGCUUAAUUUGAUGGGCCAUUUCUAAUAUAUGUAUCACUUAGAAGAAAUUACAUUACUACUAGAAUUUAAGACACAAGAAAAACAAAGUGAAUGUGAUGACAGCAUAGGAUGGGCAAGAGCAUGUUUCUGGACCUUGUACCUGGAAUAGAGGCCUCAAACAUGUGAUAGAGA